AUGUCAGUCUUCAAGCUUCCCAAACAAGUGUGCAAUGGGAUAACUACUGCUAUGUCCCAAUACUGGUGGGGAGAUGAGGAUGAGAAGAAGCAUAUGCAUUGGUUUGCGUGGUGGAAGAUGUGUGUCCCGAAGAGAAAUGGUCGCAUGGGGUUCAGAGAUCUACACUGUUUUAACUUGGCACUCUUGGCCAAACAAUGCUAG
rnacentral:rRNA from 1 species